rnacentral:lncRNA from 1 species
GCUGACAGAAACAGAAGCAAAUUUCCCUCCAGAAUAUGAAAAAUUUUGGAAAACUGUAGAAAAUAAUCCUCAGGAUUUUACAGGCUGGGUAUAUUUGCUUCAAUAUGUAGAACAGGAGAAUCACUUGAUGGCUGCCAGGAAGGCAUUUGACAGAUUUUUCAUACACUAUCCGUAUUGCUAUGGUUACUGGAAAAAGUAUGCAGACCUUGAAAAGCGGCACGACAACAUUAAACCAUCAGAUGAGGUGCGUUAAACCUCUACAGUUUGUCAAGCUUUGCAGUGCAAGCCUCUGUAUUACACUGCAGCUUAACAAGUAGGGCAGGGCUUUUCUCUCACUUACAUUUAUUUCUCAUUUUCCAAACAAUAUAGUUGGUUUGCUAGUCACAUUUGCUACGUCUUAUUGCAUUUUUGGUCAGACGCUGUCAUUGAUGCUCUAAUGGGUCUGUGCCCUAUGGUCUGUAACCCAAAGCCUGCCCACACAACCCGGUCAGAAUGCAGGGACUGCUGCGCUUUGAAGAUCAAGACUCUGCACGUGGGGAUCAGAACAUUGCCAUGUUCUAUCCAACCUCCACCCAAAUGGUAAUGGUAGAUUAUUUAAACAAAAUUCCAGUAAUUAGUAUUUCUAAGGUUCACCGGAUAACACAGUGUUGCCUCUCUGUUAAGAAAUAAUUAAAUAUUUGAAGUACA